rnacentral:misc_RNA from 1 species
AACUGAUACUACCUGCGGGAACCUGCGGAAGGAUCAUUAAAGAGAAAACUGCCCUUUGGGUAGAUCUCCCACCCUUUGUUUACCUUACCUUUGUUGCUUUGGCAGGCCCGUCUUCUGACCACCGGCUUUAGCUGGUCCGUGCCUGCCAGAGGACCCCAAACUCUUAAUUUUAAGUUGUCCGAGUCUUAUAAAAUAGUAAAAACUUUCAGCAAUGGAUCUCU